CAGCAGCCACGGGAAAACGGAGGGAGCUAGCGUUGUUCGGAAUUACUGGGCGUAAAGCGCGCGUAGGCGGUUACUCAAGUCAGAGGUGAAAGCCCGGGGCUCAACCCCGGAACUGCCUUUGAAACUAGGUGACUAGAAUCUUGGAGAGGUCAGUGGAAUUCCGAGUGUAGAGGUGAAAUUCGUAGAUAUUCGGAAGAACACCAGUGGCGAAGGCGACUGACUGGACAAGUAUUGACGCUGAGGUGCGAAAGCGUGGGGAGCAAACAGGAUUAGAUACCCCCGUAGUCCCUGUCUCUUAUAC
rnacentral:rRNA from 1 species